rnacentral:rRNA from 1 species
UGGGGAAUAUUGCACAAUGGGGGAAACCCUGAUGCAGCGACGCCGCGUGAGCGAAGAAGGUUUUCGAAUCGUAAAGCUCUGUCCUAUGGGAAGAUAAUGACGGUACCAUAGGAGGAAGCCCCGGCUAACUACGUGCCAGCAGCCGCGGUAAUACGUAGGGGGCAAGCGUUGUCCGGAAUCACUGGGCGUAAAGGGUUCGCAGGCGGAAAUGCAAGUCAGUUGUGAAAGGCAGAGGCUCAACCUCUGUAAGCAAUUGAAACUGUAUUUCUUGGGAUGUGGAGGAGGAAGAGGAAUUCCUAGUGUAGCGGUGGAAUGCGUAAAUAUUAAGAAGAAUACCGGGGGCGGAGGCGACUUGCUGGACACAAACUGACGCUGAGGAACGAAAGCGUGGGUAGCAAACAGG